AACGAACGCUGGCGGCAGGCCUAACACAUGCAAGUCGAGCGCCCCGCAAGGGGAGCGGCAGACGGGUGAGUAACGCGUGGGAAUCUACCCAUCCCUACGGAACAACUCAGGGAAACUUGAGCUAAUACCGUAUACGCCCUUCGGGGGAAAGAUUUAUCGGGGAUGGAUGAGCCCGCGUUGGAUUAGCUAGUUGGUGAGGUAAUGGCUCACCAAGGCGACGAUCCAUAGCUGGCCUGAGAGGAUGAUCAGCCACACUGGGACUGAGACACGGCCCAGACUCCUACGGGAGGCAGCAGUGGGGAAUAUUGGACAAUGGGCGCAAGCCUGAUCCAGCCAUGCCGCGUGAGUGAUGACGGCCCUAGGGUUGUAAAGCUCUUUCAACGGUGAAGAUAAUGACGGUAACCGUAGAAGAAGCCCCGGCUAACUUCGUGCCAGCCGCCGCGGUAAGAC
rnacentral:rRNA from 1 species